rnacentral:rRNA from 1 species
UGCGUAAUAGCUCACUGGUCGAGCGCCCCUGCGCCGAAAAUGUAUGGGACUAAGUAUCGCGCCGAAGACACGGGUUCGCAAGAGCAGUAGGGGAGCGUUGUGUUCAGCGUUGAAGGUGUACCGGAAGGAGCACUGGAGCGUUCACAAGUGAGAAUGCCGGCAUGAGUAGCGAUAAAGGGGGUGAGAUUCCCCCUCGCCGAUAGCCCAAGGUUUCCCCGGCAAGGCCAAUCCGCCGGGGGUUAGUCGGCCCCUAAGAUGAAGCCGAAAGGCGUAGUCGAUGGGAAGCGGGUUCAUAUUCCCGCACCGCCAUGGUUUGAGCGAUGGAGUGACGUAGAAGGAUAGGUGAUCAGGGAGAUGGUUCCUUCGGGUGCCCUGUCUCCGGCUUUAGGUGUUGAGGUGGCGAGGAAAAUCCCGUCGCUGAGCUGAGGGUUGGAGCGAGUGAUCCUACGGGUGAACGUAGUCAUCGAUUCCACACUACCGAGAAAAACUUCUAAGUGUUUUAGAACCGUGGUGACCGUACCGCAAACGGACACACGUGGGCAAGGAGAAUAUCCUGAGGCGCUUGAGAUAACUCCUGCUAAGGAACUCGGCAAAAUGGCUCCGUAACUUCGGGAGAAGGAGCGCCACAUUAGGGUGAAGGGCCUGCGCCUGGAGCCUGAAGUGGCCGCAGUUAAAAGGGGGUGGCGACUGUUUAACAAAAACACAGGUCUCUGCCAAGUCGUAAGACGAUGUAUAGGGACUGACACCUGCCCGGUGCCGGAAGGUUAAGAGGAGGGGUUAGC